UACGGGGGGGGCAAGCGUUGUUCGGAAUUACUGGGCGUAAAGGGUUCGUAGGUGGCCUGCUAAGUCAGACGUGAAAUCCCUCGGCUCAACCGGGGAACUGCGUCUGAGACUGGCGGCUUGAGUACAGGAGAGGAACGCGGAAUUCCAGGUGUAGCGGUGAAAUGCGUAGAUAUCUGGAGGAACACCGGUGGCGAAGGCGGCAUCCUGGACCAAUUCUGACACUGAGGAGCGAAAGCCAGGGGAGCAAACGGG
rnacentral:rRNA from 1 species